GGGCCCGCACAAGCGGUGGAGCAUGUGGGUUUAAUUCGAUGAUACGCGAGGAACCUUACCAGGACUUAAAUGUAAGUUGCAUGAUUCAGAAAUGAAUCUUUCUUCGGACUACUUACAAGGUGCUGCAUGGUUGUCGUCAGCUCGUGCCGUGAGGUGUCAGGUUAAGUCCUAUAACGAGCGCAACCCCUAUCUCUAGUUGCCAGCGAGUAAUGUCGGGGACUCUAAAGAAACUGCCUACGCAAGUAGAGAGGAAGGCGGGGACGACGUCAAAUCAUCACGGCCCUUACGUCCUGGGCUACACACGUGCUACAAUGGCCGGUACAGAGAGCAGCCACUACGCGAGUAGGAGCGAAAUCUUCAAAGCCGGUCUCAGUUCGGAUCGCAGUCUGCAACUCGACUGCGUGAAGCUGGAAUC
rnacentral:rRNA from 1 species